rnacentral:lncRNA from 1 species
GAGAAAGAUAAAGGUCUUCCAUCCUCUGGUCCAUUCCCCAAACGGCUGGAGCUGGGCUAAUCCAAAACCAGGAGCCAGGAGCUUCUUCCAGUCUCCCAUGAAGGUGCAGGGGCCCAAGGACUUGGGCCAUCUUCUACUGCUUUCUCAAGCCAUAGCACAGAGCUGGAUCAGAAGUGGAGCAGCCGGGACUCGAACCAGCACACUGCAGGUGGAGGCAGAGGCCUCACCCGCUGUGGCACAGUGCUGGCCCUGAUACAGUUCACAUAUUAAGACACCAAAGAAAAUUAAAUCCCCCAAGCAGAAUUUUGUAUAGAUCACUGUUUCAUUUUCUACACUUUAAUAUAUUAUAGAAUCAAUAAGUAUUUUCAAAUAGAAAAAAAAUCUUGGAAUUUAAAAUAUAUUCUCCUUUGAAAUUAUAUAUUAUAUAGAUAUUGCUUAACAAGAUGUGGGGGAUGAAGAGCCUAAAAUAGUUUGAAUGUUAACCAAGAAAACAUGGAAAUAAAUGAACUAAUUAUUCAACUCUAGAAGUUCUGACACAUGAAGAACCACAGGAAAGUCUUAUUAAAGCAAGUUUUUAAAGUCUUUUUGCUUAUUUUAAAAUAAAUAAAAAGGAUGACUAAAACUUUUACCUUUACUUUUUAAUAUUUUUCUCUUCUAAUUCAUUCUGAGUGAAUUCUACUUGGUAUCAUAGGUAGUUUUUUCGGUGUUGGAUCUGCUCUGAAUUGUGUCUUAAAUGGAUUUCAGUAAUGGUAUUUCUCUUCUGACCUAUUCAGUUAUCUUUUCGUGUAUACUUGCCUCCCAUUUCAGUGUCUUUUCUCAUGACCUUCAGCAAACACUACCCCAUCAAGGGCCCCAAAUACUUUCUCAUGAAUUGCCUACUCCUCAUGAGACUGCAUGGGAGUUCACUGGACUGUGCCAGAUCCCAAUAUGAAAAACAACUCUUUGCACCUGGAGAACAAGAAUGCCUGAACAUCAGUCAAGUUCUCCCUAGGUUUCUUUUGGAAAGUUUGGAAGAACUUCCACAGGGACUGAGGUGCUCAGAGAACCAACAUCUUCAAAAAAGCAACAAAAAGUUCAUUUAACUCCAUCUACCCUGAAACUCUGCUCUGAAUUGCCUUCUCUCUCCAUUUCAGUCAAGGAAACAACUUCUCUCUGGACUGACCCUUAAUGGGUUGUUUUUUUCAUCCAGGGGUUGGUGACCUAUAUUCAGCACAGUUAUUUGCACAGUUGCAUAUAAGCAUGUAUAAAACCUUAUGUUACUUGGUUACUCAGCUUUAUUUGAAAAAAGGAAGCAUACUCUUGUACCUCUUCAGAGCAUAUAAAUCUUUCACCUGUUAAAAAUGUCAGCAUAUUAUUCUACAGAUAUCUAUGCCUGUUUUUGUAUACAGAUGGUAGACCACCAUUUAUACAAGGACACUCCUGAAGAGACUUGGUUUUGAUCAGCAGCAAUUUCAGAGCCAACUAAGCACUUAAUAAGCACAUUUGAUAGGAGUUUCUAGUCACUUAUUAUUAAGAGUUUGACUGCUUAAAGACAAUCAAUACUGUUGGAAAUAUCAUGGACUGCAGAGCCAAAAAUCACCUUAGUUUAAUCUCAGCUCUAAUUUACAGAUUCUAUGAUGCACGUUCUAAGAUGCACACUACUCAACAGCUCUGAUCCACACUGCCUUCAUCAGUAAAUAGCUUCUUUCUGGAAUAUGGAGCAGGGAUUAAUGAUAAAAAGUGAGGAAUGCAUAAUAAUAUGUAAUCAGUAAGUCGGAAUGGAUUUUUCAGAAAUCCACUGAACUUUAAAAGAUUCAUGUGAAAAUAGUGCUAAAAAAUACAUUUAUUGGGGCUGGCACUGUGGUGUAGAGAGUAUAGCCGCC